GCAGUCGCUUCAGCAGUACAUAUACUAAAAUUGGAAAGAUACAGAGCUUAGCAUAGCCCUGUGCAAGGAUGACAUGCAAAUUCACGAAGCAUGCCAUGUUUUU